rnacentral:rRNA from 1 species
UACGUAGGGUGCGAGCGUUGUCCGGAAUUAUUGGGCGUAAAGAGCUCGUAGGCGGUCUGUCGCGUCGGUCGUGAAAACUUGGGGCUUAACUCUGAGCUUGCGGUCGAUACGGGCAUGACUGGAGUUCGGCAGGGGAGACUGGAAUUCCUGGUGUAGCGGUGAAAUGCGCAGAUAUCAGGAGGAACACCGGUGGCGAAGGCGGGUCUCUGGGCCGAUACUGACGCUGAGGAGCGAAAGCGUGGGGAGCGAA